UCUCAUAUCAGCAACUCUUUUGUCUUUGCUAAUAAGUAACAAGAUAGGAAGAACCCCUAAAUGAUGCCCGACUGAGCUUGGAGGUUUUGCCCCUCUCUCACUUCAUUAAGAGACGCGUGUGACGGAUGCCUGACAAGCUAGCAGAUGGUGUGGGGCUUGAGCAGGAGGGCGGGCAGGAAGCACUGCAGCCACACUGAGGCAAGCAGAGAACAAGGAGACGCAGACCAGGCUGGGAGCUGCACAAAGCCCAGAGGGGUGCACAGCGCUGUUGAAUGGAACCCUCCUCCUGACACAAAUCCAUGUGGGGCUUCAGUGAAGCUGCCACCUUCCCUGGCUGCACUGAGAAAGCAAUGCAGUAAGUGUUCCUGUGAUGAUGCAGAGGCAGAACUCACUUGGCGUUUGAGGCUUAAGCUUGUGAACGGUAUCGGUUUCUCCAGAACAGGAGGAGAAGACAGAGGCAGGUCAUUUUUUUUUCUUUUUGAUCGUGCUAGCAACAAAACAGAAUACUUUUGUGCCAGUGCUUUUUUAAAGUGUAGGAGAGCUAGAUGCAGGUCAAGUUGGCUAUAACCAGGUGCGUCUUUCAUCUGUUCUAUGCUGUUGGGCAACAGGGAUGCCUGCUGCUCUUAUAUGGGAUUAAUACAAAGAAAGAUAAGCUAUCAGGAUGGUAGCAGAGAAAGACAAGAUCAAUGAAGACAGACGAAAGCAAUGGAGGACACAACACCAGAACCUGCCUUUGUCGACGUGGAUAAGGGGUUGACAUUAGCAUGCAUCGUCUUCCUCUGCCUGUUCCUGAUCGCCAUGAUUAUCCGCUGUGCCAAAGUCAUCAUGGACCCCUACAGUGCCAUUCCCACCUCCACCUGGGAGGAGCAGCACCUGGAUGAUUAGUGGUAACAAGGCCAGGCUGUGUGGCAUAGAGUAGCCAGUAUUAAAUCAGUCAGAUCUGACGUUUUAUUGAAUCCAAAAGAAGUCGCAGUCAUAAUGUUGCUAAGAAAAGGUAAAAAAAAUAUAAUUUCAUCCACUGAAAUCUGGGCAAAAUUAAUUCCAAGAUAAGUACCAUCAUCCAGAAGCAGCUGACUGGGAUUGUCUUUACGUCUUACAGUGUUACUUUCAGAUACAAUAUGUUUUUGGGACACAGACGCCGGUACAGGAGUGAGAAAGCAACUACAUCGCCGUUGCAUUUUUGUAAAAAAAUGUUGUACAAAUUUAUGCAUUGAAUUUCUCAGAGAACAAACAGAAGCUGACAGUACAAUUGAUUAAAAAUGCAUUACUUCCUGCAUCUAUGCUCAACAUGUGCAAAAAUAUCAAUUUUUGUAUAUUUUUUCUAAUUAUCAUACCCCACAGUCAGUAUGCCAAAGGGCCUCUGAGGAAUAGAAAUGAACAGGAGCCAAGAACUGUUUACCAGCAGAUGAAAUGUCAUUUAUGAAUUUGUACAGUACGCAUAGAGGUGUAAAAACCACAUUCGUAGUGGUUGGUUUACACAGCUGUAGGAGUAGAAUUUGAUGCCUCUGUUUUAAUUUUACCACCAUGUAGCAGGAAGAAGAUGCAAUAGAACAUGCUGUACCUACUCCUGGGAUAGUUCUUUAUUAAUGCACUGGUUGAGUUUUCAACUUUCUUUUUUUGUGAUGAAUUAACUAAAUUCACUACUUUGCUACUCAGGCUUGCAUACUGCAAUCAUUUUGUUGUAAUAAUCCUGGUUUCUCCCAGAAGCAUCUAUCGAUAUAAACUUGCAGCUUUCUCUCAAGGCUAUGUUCUGAAACGCAUGUAGUCAAGUGCCUCAGCUACAAACACAAAUAAUUUUUCAGCCUUUAAAAUGAAUGAAUGCACUGUUAGAAAACUCGAACUUAUUAUAAAAUAUAUGUCUGGUUUGUGUAAAAUAAACGAGAAAAACAUUUAGCUAACUUAUUGUUAUACUCUUAAUAAAUAAAAUAAUAA